GUUCUCCGUUACGAAGCAGAAAUACCAUUCAAAGGCAUUUAUUCCUCACAUUCGGUAAUCAAUUCCUAUGGUUUUCUAAACGCCCGAUCAAAUGUUGGAGUAUAUAAACAUCUCCAUGUGUAAUCUUCCAUUUCCACUGGCAAGAACAACAAUCAUCUCAUGAAAAGAGUUAUUGGUGUUGCUGUCGUUCUCCUUUCUCUUGAGGCAAGAAUUCACGGGCUUACUGUUUCAUGGAAAGAUGGCGAGAAUGUGAACAAUCUAUGUAAAUUUCUCAUAAUUUAUUUUAUUUCAUUAUAAAUUUCAAAUUCAUUGGCUCACGGUACAAUUGGAACUUGAUCUUCAGAAGUGUAUAAAUGGGAAAAUACACCACAACAAGGACGGGAUGAUAAAAAAGGUCGGAAGCCCAUGACGUAGCAGCAAAUUAAUUUAUAAGAGAAGGCUAAACGGAGACGAGCAAAAAGGGAAAAACAGGAAGAGGAGGAUAGGUGGUCAGAGAACAGUCUCGACAUUGUACAUUGAGGAUAUUGGCUUUAAAUAGGCGGAGCAAAGAAGGCAAAAAAACAAGGCUUUUUAGACUACAAAUUUGAGAAAGUAACACACAAGAAGUAUUAAAGAAAAAGAUAGAAUUUUGAUUGCUCACUUUGCAGGUAAGACUGACUAGGAAGAUGAAGAAGAUCAGGUCAAAGAGAGAGAGACACAUCUGGCUUAUCUGGAUCCUUAUUGGCCUGAACUUGACAGGGAGGUUGAAAAAAAGUUAGAUAUUAAGGCCAAAAUGGAUGGAUAUUAGGAAUCGGUAUGCUAGAAUACUGAUGUUUGGGUAUAGAUUGCACACACAUAUAUAUCUUUUUGUAUACUAAAUAUUACUACGAUUUGGGCUAAUGCGCACCAGUAACGACAUCAAUUCAAAUUGGUAGAAAUUACUAAAUAACACCUCGAUUGUGCAGGUUAUCAUGGUAUCCCAACACCAUACUUCCCAUCAGAUUCAAAGCAUUCGUGGUAACAAGUCUGGAAUGCUUAAAUAGUUUUUAUCAAAUUUCUGGUAACAUCUUGAUACUUAGUGAAAAUGUCUACUCAUUAGGUCUAUUGCUUUGAAAUACCUUUUAAAUGUCUAAUCUGAAGUUUGUAAAUGUCAUGUCUAUUAAUUUUUAUUAAUCAGUCAAGAAGUUUGGGAAUUGAGAUCCUAUCUUUCUGGAAUGGACGUUCAAAUGGUAGCUGGUUUGUUUAUAACUGACUCUGACGAAAGUAUUCAUGGUAAUAUGAACAUCUGUGUUUGGUUAUAAAGUAUACUGCUCCUUUCUCUAUCAGUGAAGGACAUUCAGCGCGAAUAUAGAUGGGUUCUUUUCAGUUUAAUGUAGUCUUUCGUCAUGAGAUUUUUAUUUUGUAGAAUCUAAUUUGAAAUGGUUGUUAGUUGUGUAGAUAGAUGUAUUGUGCAAUGCUGAGAUCCUAGGCACAAUGUAACUUCUGAUAGAUUAUCUUUUAGGUUGUGGGUUCUGUCAUACGUUUUUUGCUAAAACCAAGUUUGUUUGGAUUCUUUCUUAGCAUUUGUAAGUUCAUCAAUGUCCUCGAUUGUCGAAACACUGCCGUAUCAUUACUUGGGAAACAACCUGAGAAAAGCUGAGGAACUACACCGAGCAAAAUCAUGGUCUCCUACAUGCAUUUGUCAGAGUGGCUUUCAUAGAGUCACAGUAAGCCUCAAGCUCGAUUCUUAUCCGGGGUGGUCUUUGAAGACUCUGCUAGGUAAGAAGAUCGUUUGUGAUGACUCUGGGUUCUUUUUUCUUUUUCAAGUUUCCUACUGAUUCAUUAGAUGUCACAGACAGUGUGUUUUUCCCUUUUUUUGCCUCUAUAAAUUGUUUGUUAGGUAUGAAUGUAAAAUUGGCAAGCAAAAGAUGUUCAUGGAAAUUUGCAGGUGAUAAGUGAAUGAUUUGGGUUGGAAUGUCAUGUCUACUGAGUUAGUUGUAGUGCUGGUGGAAGUGGUGCAGUUUGUAAUGUGUGAUCAUUAGUGACUAUAACUUUAUAGUGUGUAAUUAUUAUAUAUGUUCUUAGCCCAUUUUUAGUGUUCUUGAUGUUCAAUUUUGAUAGAGGUACUCUUUACUUUGCAUGGUCAUUCUAUAUGUACCUUCUAUA